rnacentral:tRNA from 1 species
GCCUGGGUGGCUCAGUUGGUUAAGCAUCCGACUUCAACUCAGGUCAUGAUCUCCCCGUUCAAGGAGAUCAUAAGGGUUCAAGCCCUUCAUCAGGCU